UAACGGUACUAAACUAGUUAAUAUGCUGUCGGAAACAGAUGUUGCAAACUUAAAAGAAAGUUACAGCAAAAUUCUCUUACCUUAACGAAACCAAUGUCGUUGGCGUACUCACGGAAACUUUGACGAGAGAUGUUCAAACCGUACUUGCGGAUUAAACCGAGACGACGACCAGUGUGAGCGCUAAAUUAUGAAUUAAUACAUCACUCGUGUAUAAAAAAGAUGCUUGCUUACCAUUGUCUGCUGCCCUUUCCGUACUUGCGAGGGUGAGAGAACCAAACGUUUUCGUGGGCCAUUUUGGUGUGAAGGUAGAGAUUGUUUCAAGCGUUUCUUCUACUAGACGAAAGUCGUGACUGCUCUUCUAGGCAUAGGGUAGGGCUAAUAUAGAGAAAUAC